rnacentral:tmRNA from 1 species
GGGGGUGAACGGCUUCGACAUCGUUCGAAAUGACAGUUGAAGCGGGCAGAGAAUCAAUGGUUAUCUCUUAAACAUUCCAUUGAACCUAAAAAUGCCAAACAUAAGGCAUCUGAUUUCGCCCUUGCUGCUUAAUAAGUAGUAAGCCCGAAUCCGUCGACCCAGGGCCGCUUCCUUCCUGGAUUUCGGCGUCGCUGCGGAAGCUAACAAAGUGUGGGGGUCACGACCACAUAAUGGAAAUCUCUUUGUGACUUGAGCCAAGUGUUGCGACGGGCCACGAGAUGCGCAACGGCUGACUACUUGAAAUUGUGGCUGCGCCCGGAGAAUGCCUGAAGUUAUGACGUUGGACGCGGGUUCGAUUCCCGCCACCUCCACCA